rnacentral:rRNA from 1 species
AUGGUGCUGCGUGUUCUCAAUGGCUUGGAUUCUCUGGAGGUUAUUAAUAAAACGUUCAUCGUUCUUAUCCCUAAGGCACAAAAUCCAACCUCUUUAACCCAAUUCUGUCCAAUUAGUUUGUGCAAUGUAAUCUUUAAGAUUAUAUCCAACGUACAUUCUAACCGACUGAAAAAGAUUCUACCGGAGAUAAUAUCCCAAGAGCAGUCGGCGUUCGUCCCUGGUAGGCUCAUUACUGAUAAUGUCAUAGCUGCAUAUGAGUGCCUCCAUUUUAUGAAGAAGUCUAGAAGCAAGAACAAUUCCCAUUGUGCUUUGAAGUUGGAUAUGAUGAAGGCGUACAAUAGAGUUGAGUGGAAUUAUCUUGAAGCUGUAAGGAUUAAGAUUGGUUUGCAUCCUUCCUGGGUUAAAAAGGUAAUGCAAUGUGUGACCACAGUGUCCUUUUCAGUAUUGUUAAAUGGAAGCAGGCAGGAGGAGUUCAGACCUACGAGGGGGAUCGUCAAGGUGACCCAAUUUCACCAUAUUUAUUUUUGUUGGCUGCCAAAGGAUUCUCGUGUUUGCUCAAGUCUAAAGGUACAAAUGAGAAUGUGCAGGGUGUAG